GCCGAGGUGGUGAAAUUGGUAUACACGCAGCCUUGAGGUGGCUGUGUCGCAAGAUGUGUGGGUUCGAGUCCCAUCCCCGGCACCA
rnacentral:tRNA from 1 species